GAUGAACGCUGGCGGCGUGCCUAAUACAUGCAAGUCGAGCGAACAGACGAGGAGCUUGCUCCUCUGACGUUAGCGGCGGACGGGUGAGUAACACGUGGAUAACCUACCUAUAAGACUGGGAUAACUUCGGGAAACCGGAGCUAAUACCGUAUAAUAUAUUGAACCGCAUGGUUCAAUAGUGAAAGACGGUUUUGCUGUCACUUAUAGAUGGAUCCGCGCCGCAUUAGCUAGUUGGUAAGGUAACGGCUUACCAAGGCAACGAUGCGUAGCCGACCUGAGAGGGUGAUCGGACACACUGGAACUGAGACACGGUCCAGACUCCUCCGGGAGGCAGCAGUAGGGAAUCUUACGCAAUGGGCGAAAGCCUGACGGAGCAACGCCGCGUGAGUGAUAAAGGUCUUCGGAUCGUAAAACUCUGUUAUUAGGGAAGAACAAAUGUGUAAGUAACUAUGCACGUCUUGACGGUACCUAAUCAGAAAGCAACGGCUAACUACGUG
rnacentral:rRNA from 1 species